GGAGGAACUGAGAAUGAAUGACCGCGUUCAAACAAAGUGUGCGUGAGUUUCUGUUGGGAAAGCAUCAAGAUCUGCAGCAAACUGUGCAGGAUUGCCUUCAUCUCCAAAAUCCGGGUUGCAGCCGGUGAUUGGCAGGAGGAGGAGAGUCUGACGGAGGAGCAGAGGAAUGUUGGCAGCCAUUUAGUCUGAGCUCAACAACAGAGGAAACAUGGAUUCUUCACAAAAGAAAUGUAAACACAGCAAUGGAGUGAGAUGUCGGACCUCUGAGGAGGAUAAGGAUGGUUCAGCAACAACGGCAAAAAGAGAUGAAUCACUGAGUUGUGAGCAAUGUGACAAGACUUUUAUUACAGCAACAAAGCUAAGAAUUCACAAACAUAUUCACACUGUGGAGAAACCAUUCAGCUGUGAUCAGUGUGGGAAGGCUUUUACUCAGAAGAGUGACUUAAAAAGACAUCAACUCAUUCACAGUGGAGUUAAACCAUUCAGCUGUGAUCAGUGUGGAAAGGCUUUUACUCACAAUAGUCACUUAAAAAGCCAUCAACUCAUGCACAGUGGAGUUAAACCAUUCAGCUGUGAUCAGUGUGGAAAGGCUUUUACUCACAAGAGUCAGUUAAAAAGCCAUCAACUCAUUCACAGUGGAGUUAAACCAUUCAACUGUGAUCAGUGUGGUAAGGCUUUUACUCGGAAGACUCAUUUAAAAAGCCAUCAACUCAUGCACAGUGGAGUUAAACCAUUCAGCUGUGAUCAGUGUGGAAAGGCUUUUACUAAGAAGAGUGACUUAAAAAGACAUCAACUCAUUCACAGUGGAGUUAAACCAUUCAGCUGUGAUCAGUGUGGAAAGGCUUUUACUCACAAUAGUCACUUAAAAAGCCAUCAACUCAUUCACAGUGCAGUGAAACCAUUCAGCUGUGCUCAGUGUGGAAAGGCUUUUACUCAGAAGAGUCAGUUAAAAAGCCAUCAACUCAUUCACAGUGGAGUGAAAUUGUUUGGCUGUGAUCAAUGUGGAAAGGCUUUUACUCUCAAGAGUACAUUAAGAAGUCAUCAACUAAUGCACAGUGGAGUUAAACCAUUCAGCUGUGAUCAGUGUGGAAAGGCUUUUACUCACAAGAGUCAGUUAAAAAGCCAUCAACUCAUUCACAGUGGAGUUAAACCAUUCAGCUGUGCUCAGUGUGGAAAGGCUUUUAAUCAGAAGAGUAUGUUAAAAAGACAUCAGCUCAUUCACAGUGGAGUGAAAUUGUUCAGCUGUAAUCAGUGUGGUAAGGCUUUUACUCGGAAGACUCAUUUAAAAAGCCAUCAACUCAUUUACAGUGGAGUGAAACCAUUCAACUGUGAUCAGUGUGUGAAAACCUUUACUCAGCAUGAACAGUUGUUGAUCCAUCAAUGCCCCCAUUCUGGUACAAAGCGGUACCACUGUGACUCCUGUGAAAAAACUUUCAGCUCCCAACAGACCUUAAAAUAUCACCAACGCAUCCACACUGGACAUGAUGUGUACCGAUGUGAUCACUGUGGUGAACCAUUUGUAUUGUACUCACAGUUAAAAGCUCAUGAAGUGACCCACACUGGGGUUAAACCAUACCUUUGUGAUCAGUGUGGGAAACGCUACAGCUACAUUGCAAACCUCAAAGUUCACCAACGUGUCCACACUGGGGAGAGACCAUACAGAUGUGAUGAGUGUAAGAAGACUUUUACAACUUUGGGUUCCCUGAAACAACACCAGCAGAUCCGCACCAGAAAGAAAGCAUUCAAUCAGUGUCACAGUGAGCAGAACGGAACAGAUGGACAAAACUCUCAGACUUGUCAGCACUCUGCCAAUGGUGAACAGUGCUGCUUUGACCAGUCUGGACCAACGUCCAACCAACAAGGAACCCUACAACGACACCAGCGUAUGCACACUGGACACAGACUGAACCCCUGCCAAGAAGAUUUGUCCAUGCAGGGUUCAGUAAAGGUUUAUGAAGUCCUCCACAAACUUAAAGUCCUUGAGAUCCGGCUUCAUAGAAUUCAGGUCUAAUUUCUUGUUUAGUGUCUUCGUUGCUUCGUUGCAAAAUCCAUUAAGAGGAAAGCUGUCGUUAACAGAUGUGACUGGUAAAUUAAUCAAACCGUUCAAAGUGGUUACUCAGUUAAAUUAAUUAUCAGUGGUAGAGGGAUAGACGUCUGGAUGGAGGCAGUGAGCAGCAGGGCGAAUUUCCUCAAUUACCACCUUAAUGGUUCCUGAGAUCCCUCUGGGCUGCAGGAACCCGUUAGAUGCAGAGCUGGUUCAGUGAUUCUCUGAUGAUUAAGCAUAAUUAAUUUCGGAGAUUACUGGCCUUAGGAUUCCUGUCUGUCUGUCUGUAAAUAUAAAAACAUGAAGUGUUCUAUGAAAAGUCCAAUCUUUGAAAGCUGACAUGUAGUUCAGAAUCAUUUCUUUGUAAAUUAGCUGCAUCCAGUCAUUACCAUGACACUGGCAGUGAUUCUCUGAUGAUUAAUCAUAAUUAAUUUAGGAGAUUACUGGCCUUAGGAUAUCUAUCUAUCUAUCUAUCUAUCUGUCUUUCUGUCUAUCUGUCUAUCUGUCUGUCUGUCUGUCUGUCUGAACUUUCUCAGCUACAGCAUCUGUACCUCUGCUUCUGUGUGAAGUAGUCAUUACAGGAGAGAAAGUGUAGAAAAUCUGACAAAUUUUGUCAAGUGGUCCAGAAAAAUCUGACUACCCCUACAACUUCUCUCCUGUAAUGAUAGUAAUAAGUAAUACAUAGUUGAUACUUCACACAGCAGUAGCAGAGGUGCAGAUGUUGUAGCUGAGAAAGUUUGGAGGUUGCCACUUCUUGCAUUCCAAGAAUAGUAGGGGAGUCAGAUUUUGUCAAGUGGCCCAGAAAAAUCUGACUCCAGAUUUUAUUUCAUAUCAUACAAUCUGCACUUUUAACUCAACCUGCAUAUUUCUGUUCAAGAUCUAGUUUUGAAAUGGUCUCUCUGUUCUUAAUCUGCCAUACUGUGAUCAUUUAGCCCCUUAUUUCAAUAUUCUGUUCUUGCAGACUGUAAUUUACGAGUUUUUUUUUUAAACUUGUUGUGAUUUGGUGUUUUAGCUGUUGUAGCUAAUAAUUUCCCAGGUGUGGGAUCAAUAAAGAAUUUCAAUUCUAUUAUAUUGUUAACUGGCCCUAUAAAAAUAACAACAAUAAGAAAUUACUUUAUACUUAAGAACGAUACUUAUAUUAAAGACUUUAUACAUAAAUACCAGACAUAUUUUGAUGCCAUAUCUCGCAUUCUUAGGAAAGUCUGAUUUUAAAUAAGGAGAUAUAAAGUUUUCUCAGUGAACAAUUAUUUUAAUGACACGUGUAGAACACUGAUGGAAUGUGAACAAUAUUUGGCGACUACACCCUGUCCUGUCCUGAUGUCCUCAUAGGAGUGAAGCUGAGAGUAGCGUAGGAUCUCCCCAAUGCCAUUUAGGGUGCGCACAUACGGAUGAGAAGAGGAGGAGAAACAUGUCACCUAAUCAUAUUUAACAGGAAAACAUGUCUGCAGGUCGGUACUUAGUCACAUUUAACCCAAAAACAACAGCAAAAGCAGUAAACGUUCGACAGAAAAACCCGUCAAGUGGGCACAGAGUGAAAAGUAAGUCACACGCGUUCACGCGAAGGGGGAGUCAGAUUUUUCCGGGGAGUGUGAAAAUUGCACAACACCUGGGUUAGUCUGUAUCCUUUUUUCUGAUUGGCUGAGACGAGACACGUGACAGUGUGCAUCUAUUAAUGAUCGGAAGCAUUCAGGUCGUUCCGGUUAUACUCGGUAGCGCUCUUCAGUAAAGGAGACGCAGUUUGUUAUUUUCUUUGAUUAUCGCUCGGCAAAUUACAAAAAAGUUGCAAGUUAACCCUUUUUUCACAUUUAUUAGGCAAAAUUAGCUUCGCCACCGUGGCUAAACAUGCUAAAAAUGGCUUUGCCAUCCUGAGGAAGGCUUCGCCUAUGGAGAAGUGGAGAAUGGCUAGCGCAAGCACAGAGACACCCUGAAAAUUUGACACAAUCUUAAAUAUUAUUAUGAAAUAUUUGUUGAAAAGUCUUUUUUGUGUGUUUCUAAGGGUGUGGCUGCAUCAGAAAGACACAAAUACAAAUGAUAUUUUUUUGGUUUGUUGUUUACAAGAAAUAUUUUAUGGAACCAGUCAAUUUUCAGUUUUAAUGUCUUUUUUUAGGAUGUGUUUAGUUUUAUGAUUGUACUAAAAUAAAUGACUCCUGAAGACCUCAAA